AUUGAACGCUGGCGGCAUGCCUUACACAUGCAAGUCGAACGGCAGCACGGGUGCUUGCACCUGGUGGCGAGUGGCGAACGGGUGAGUAAUACAUCGGAACAUGUCCUGUAGUGGGGAUAGCCCGGCGAAAGCCGGAUUAAUACCGCAUACGAUCCACGGAUGAAAGCGGGGGACCUUCGGGCCUCGCGCUAUAGGGUUGGCCGAUGGCUGAUUAGCUAGUUGGUGGGGUAAAGGCCUACCAAGGCGACGAUCAGUAGCUGGUCUGAGAGGACGACCAGCCACACUGGGACUGAGACACGGCCCAGACUCCUACGGGAGGCAGCAGUGGGGAAUUUUGGACAAUGGGCGAAAGCCUGAUCCAGCAAUGCCGCGUGUGUGAAGAAGGCCUUCGGGUUGUAAAGCACUUUUGUCCGGAAAGAAAUCCUUGACUCUAAUACAGUCGGGGGAUGACGGUACCGGAAGAAUAAGCACCGGCUAACUACGUG
rnacentral:rRNA from 1 species